rnacentral:rRNA from 1 species
GAGUUUGAUCUGGCUCAGAUUGAACGCUGGCGGUAUGCUUAACACAUGCAAGUCGAACGGUAACAGGAGAGAGCUUGCUCUUUUGCUGACGAGUGGCGGACGGGUGAGUAAUGCGUAGGAAUCUGCCUAGUAGUGGGGGACAACGUGUGGAAACGCACGCUAAUACCGCAUACGCCCUACGGGGGAAAGCGGGGAGUCUUCGGACCUCGCGCUAUUAGAUGAGCCUACGUUAGAUUAGCUAGUUGGUGGGGUAAAGGCCUACCAAGGCGACGAUCUAUAGCUGGUCUGAGAGGAUGAUCAGCCACACUGGGACUGAGACACGGCCCAGACUCCUACGGAGGCAGCAGUGGGGAAUAUUGGACAAUGGGCGAAAGCCUGAUCCAGCAAUACCGCGUGUGUGAAGAAGGCCUGAGGGUUGUAAAGCACUUUCAAUUGUGAAGAAAUAUUUAAGGUUAAUAACCUU